rnacentral:rRNA from 1 species
UACGGGGGGGGUAAGCGUUGUUCGGAAUUACUGGGCGUAAAGGGCUCGUAGGCGGCCAACUAAGUCAUACGUGAAAUCCCUCAGCUUAACUGGGGAACUGCGUGUGAUACUGGAUGGCUUGGAUUUGGGAGAGGGAUGCGGAAUUCCAGGUGUAGCGGUGAAAUGCGUAGAUAUCUGGAGGAACACCGGUGGCGAAGGCGGCAUCCUGGACCAAGAUUGACGCUGAGGAGCGAAAGCUAGGGGAGCAAACGGG